UUUUAAUUUAAAGCCAAGUGGCACAACCAAAUAAAAAAGAAAAAGAAAAGAAAAAGAAAAAAAAAAAAAGAAAGAGAAAAGAAGAAAGAAGAAAAGGCUAGAAGAGAGAGAGAAACUCAUUUCUUUUCCUCCAUUUUCUCCUCCUUCCUCUGCCGAGAACCACAAAAAAAUUUCCAUUCUUCAUCUUUUCUCUUCUAUACCAAAAUUGCUUCAAAAUUUCACCUCCAAUUAAUUCCCCAUCUUCUCCCAACACCUUUCCAAAGAAGAAUUUGAAGAAAAGAAGGGAAAUCAAAGAGAAAUUUCAAGGGUGAGAGGGGAGUGAAUAGUAACCAAGGGUUUGGAAAUUUGAAAGAAGUGGAAAGGAAAAGUGGAAGUUCCAAAGGGAAAGAAAAGGAAGAGUAGAGAAGUAAAGCUUGUAGAAUAUUUUGGAAAUUCUAAGGUUGUAGAUUCAAAGAGCAGUAGAUCAAGAUCUGCAUCAACCCAGCCAGAGUUGCAUCAUCAUCUAUAUUGGGGAUGUCUGAAGAACACAGAGAACUUCAAGUCGGAGAAGAAGUAGAAAGUCAUGUACCGACUGAGGCCACUGGCCAUGCACCGCCCCAGGCUCCUCCUGGUGCUAGAAGGCCAGAGCAGGAGGUCUUAUUACAGCAAUUAAUAGAGAUUUUCAGGCAGGUGGCCGGAGUAGCUCAGCCAGCUAUAGUUCCACCACCGGUUCCUGCACCAGCACCAGCCAGGCCGCCUAUUGAUAAACUGAGAAAGUAUGGUGCUACAGAAUUCAAAGGUCGAAAGGAAGAUGAUGCAUCCGCAGCAGAAUAUUGGUUGCAAAGUACAGACAGGGUGCUUCAGCAGCUACAGUGUUCCCCAGAAGAUAGUCUGGUAUGUGCAGUGUCACUACUGAAAGAAGAAGCCUACCAAUGGUGGGAUACUGUGGCACAGACAGUACAACCAAUACAGAGGACGUGGGAGUUUUUCUUAAAUGAAUUCAGAAAGAGGUAUGUGGGAGACAUUUAUCUGGAAGAGAGAAAAAGAGAGUUUAUCUAUUUGAGGCAAGGGCGUAUGACAGUAGCUGAGUAUGAAAGAGAGUUUAUUAGACUGAGCAGAUAUGCCAGGGAAAUUAUUCCUACAGAGGAGGCAAAGUGUAAAAGAUUUGAGCAAGGGUUAAACACUGAGAUCAAGAUGCUUCUAGUUGCUCUUCAAAUCAGAGAUUUUUCAGCACUGGUGAAUGCAGCUUUAAAUGUAGAGAAAGUGAGGGAAGAAGAUCAGAGUAGAAGACAGAGGAGUCAGCAAAAAAGGACUCACAGUCAGAAUCAGAGUCAAGGACAGAUGAUAGCUUCACAGGGCUCUAGUAAGAGACAGAAGAGUUUUCAACCUGCUAGAUCAAGCCAGUCUCAAAGGCAGGGCCAAAAAUCAGCUCAGAGUUUAGCAAGUGGGUCUGUUCAACAGACUGCUUCUGUGGCCAGUUCAGGAGGUUCAGGAAGAAGCCUUCCACCAGAGUGCGACCAUUGCAAAAGGAGGCAUACUGGUACUUGCAGACUGCUGACGGGAGCUUGUUUCAUAUGUGGUUCUAUGGAUCACAUUAUGAAGGAUUGUCCUAAGAAGCAGACAGCCUCAGCACCAGCAACAGAAAGAACUGCACCAGUAACUCAAAGGACAAGAAGCAAAGGUAGAAGCGAGCCGAUAGGUACCUCUAGUCAAAGAGUGUCGGAGACUGUGGAUAGACCGGAAUCUAGAGCACCUGCCAGAGCCUAUGCCAUCAAAGCCAGAGAGGAUCAGGAUUCCCCAGAUGUUAUCAUGGAAGUGGAAAGGAAAAGUGGAAGUUCCAAAGGGAAAGAAAAGGAAGAGUAGAGAAGUAAAGCUUGUAGAAUAUUUUGGAAAUUCUAAGGAAUUUAUUUUUCCUCGCGCAGGUUGUAGAUUCAAAGAGCAGUAGAUCAAGAUCUGCAUCAACCCAGCCAGAGUUACAUCAUCAUCUAUAUUGGGGAUCGGACCCGAGAGACCGAGGAGGCCAGUAGUGUUAGCUGUGCAGAGCAAGUUCAGCGACUGCCAGAGUGUUGCAGGUUUGAGGUUGAUCGGGAAGUCUCAAGAGCAGAGGUUAUGCUUUUGUGAUAGUUAUAGAUUAGUACUGUUAGUGUGGACAUGAUGUAAUGUAACUGAGUUAUUGAAAUGUAAGGUUAAUUGGAGUUAUAUUUAUGGAUUAGUACUGUGCUUGGCCCUGAGACUUGGUUGGUCCCUGUUUAAUACAUGAUGUAUGUUUUGGUUUA